CAGAAGUCCUUGGGAGUACUUCAUUUGCCUGUGAAAAUAGAUGAUAGAGUUUCGAGACGAUGCAUUUACCGGAGUAGAUGUGCUGAUAGGAGAAGACAUCAUGGACAGACCAGGUAUUUUACUUAUACGGAAGGAAGGACAAGUAAAACUAGUUACCGAUGAUCAGCAUAAGGAGCUACCAGAAUUCAGCGUUGUAAUUAACCCUAGAGUUGAGAUAAUAUCGAAAGAAAAUACAAAGAUUCCUCCAGGAGAAAUUAAGCUGGUGGCAGCUACUUGUGAUAUCCAGGAUGGUCCUACGGUUAUUGAG
rnacentral:lncRNA from 1 species